rnacentral:sRNA from 1 species
UCACAACAUACAGUAAAUAUACCUAGUAUAUAUAGUUUCAACGGUUCAAGAUUCAAAAUAUCGUCUUAAACAGCGACCAGAUAUUCUUGAACCUCCAAAACGAUCUAAUUUUAAUAAAUUGGUGAAUGAAAUCGAUUUAUU